UAAGCGUAGAAGAAAAUUUCAACACUCAAAUUAGGUACUUCUUUUGUUCUUUUGCCACAUUGCAAUAUCUUUUUUUUUUUCCUAUCUUUUGUGUUCCGCCUUUUUGUGUUUGACUGCAAAACAGG
rnacentral:ribozyme from 14 species